rnacentral:rRNA from 1 species
UACGGAGGGAGCUAGCGUUGUUCGGAAUUACUGGGCGUAAAGCGCACGUAGGCGGCCAUUCAAGUCAGAGGUGAAAGCCCGGGGCUCAACCCCGGAACUGCCUUUGAAACUAGAUAGCUUGAAUCUUGGAGAGGCGAGUGGAAUUCCGAGUGUAGAGGUGAAAUUCGUAGAUAUUCGGAAGAACACCAGUGGCGAAGGCGACUCGCUGGACAAGUAUUGACGCUGAGGUGCGAAAGCGUGGGGAGCAAACAGG